rnacentral:antisense_RNA from 1 species
CAGCAUAUACAAAAAUCAAAUGGAUUAAAGACUUGAAUGUAAAAUCUGAAACCGUAAAACUCCUAGGAGAAAAAAUAGGGGAAAAGCUCUUUGACAUUGGUCUGGGCAAUGAUUUCUUGGAUGACACCAAAAGCACAGGCAACAAAAGCAAAAAUAAAAAAGUGGGACUACAUCAAACUAAAAAUCUGCACAAUGAGGAAAACCAUCAACAAAGUGAGAAGCCAACCUACUGAACAGGAGAAAAUAUUUUAAAACCACCUAGCCAAUAAAGGGAGUUACCUUUCGUGGAAGGGUAAGCAGAAAGCAACUACAAGAUCAUCAUUUCAAAACAAUAUGAAAGCAGAAUGGGAAAUGCCAUGGCAUGCUCCCUCUUUUCAGGCAAUAUGGACACUUUGGGGAAGUUAUGAAGUGUCUCCCAUUCCCGCUUGAGGUACUCAAUAGAGCCCACAAACACAAUGUGCUUGAGCUCGUGGUAAUGAAAGUUGCUGGCACGGAGCGGCAUCACCAGGUUCCGGAGGCCGAUCAGGGCUGAGCUGACAUCGCCAAAGAUGCAGACCACGACAUGGCCACUCAGGACGGUCAUAGCAGCUUCACU